rnacentral:rRNA from 1 species
GAUCCUGGCUCAGGAUGAACGCUAGCUACAGGCUUAACACAUGCAAGUCGAGGGGCAGCAUGAACUUAGCUUGCUAAGUUUGAUGGCGACCGGCGCACGGGUGAGUAACACGUAUCCAACCUGCCGAUGACUCCGGGAUAGCCUUUCGAAAGAAAGAUUAAUACCCGAUGGCAUAGUUCUUCCGCAUGGUAGAACUAUUAAAGAAUUUCGGUCAUCGAUGGGGAUGCGUUCCAUUAGGUUG